rnacentral:rRNA from 1 species
UGUUUGAUGUUCUAACGUGGACCCGUGAUCCGGGUUGCGGACAGUGUCUGGUGGGUAGUUUGACUGGGGCGGUCUCCUCCUAAAGAGUAACGGAGGAGCACGAAGGUUGGCUAAUCCUGGUCGGACAUCAGGAGGUUAGUGCAAUGGCAUAAGCCAGCUUGACUGCGAGCGUGACGGCGCGAGCAGGUGCGAAAGCAGGUCAUAGUGAUCCGGUGGUUCUGAAUGGAAGGGCCAUCGCUCAACGGAUAAAAGGUACUCCGGGGAUAACAGGCUGAUACCGCCCAAGAGUUCAUAUCGACGGCGGUGUUUGGCACCUCGAUGUCGGCUCAUCACAUCCUGGGGCUGAAGUAGGUCCCAAGGGUAUGGCUGUUCGCCAUUUAAAGUGGUACGCGAGCUGGGUUUAGAACGUCGUGAGACAGUUCGGUCCCUAUCUGCCGUGGGCGCUGGAGAACUGAGGGGGGCUGCUCCUAGUACGAGAGGACCGGAGUGGACGCAUCACUGGUGUUCGGGUUGUCAUGCCAAUGGCACUGCCCGGUAGCUAAAUGCGGAAGAGAUAAGUGCUGAAAGCAUCUAAGCACGAAACUUGCCCCGAGAUGAGUUCUCCCUGAGACUUAGAGUCUCCUGAAGGAACGUUGAAGACGACGACGUUGAUAGGCCGGGUGUGUAAGCGCAGCGAUGCGUUGAGCUAA